CUUGGUCAUUUAGAGGAAGUAAAAGUCGUAACAAGGUUUCCGUAGGUGAACCUGCGGAAGGAUCAUUCAUAAUAAGUGUUUUAUGGCACUUUUUUAAAUCCAUAUCCACCUUGUGUGCAAUGUCAGGGUUGGUCUCUUGAAAAAGAGAUCAGCCCCAAACAUCAACCCAAUCUUAACUCUUUGUCUGAAAAAUAUUAUGAAUAAAACAAUUCAAAAUACAACUUUCAACAACGGAUCUCUUGGCUCUCGCAUCGAUGAAGAACGCAGCGAAAUGCGAUACGUAAUGUGAAUUGCAGAAUUCAGUGAAUCAUCGAAUCUUUGAACGCAUAUUGCGCUCUUUGGUAUUCCGAAGAGCAUGCUUGUUUGAGUAUCAGUAAACACCUCAAAGCCUUUUUUUGUUAAGAGGCCUUGGACUUGAGCAAUCCCAACACUUUUCCUCCAAGAAAAGUGGCGGGUUGCUUGAAAUGCAGGUGCAGCUGGACAUUCUCCUGAGCUAAAAGCAUAUUCAUUUAGUCCCGUCAAACGGAUUAUUACUUUUGCUGCAGCUAACAUAAAGGGAGUUUGACCAUUUUGGCUGACUGAUGCAGGAUUUUCGCAAGAGUCUUCAAAAGCUUUUGUUAAACUCGAUCUCAAAUCAAGUAAGACUACCCGCUGAACUUAAGCAUAUCAAUAAGCGGAGGA
rnacentral:rRNA from 1 species